UACGUAGGCAGCAAGCGUUGUUCGGAAUUACUGGGCGUAAAGAGUGUGUAGGUGGUGUCGUAAGUUUGGUGUGAAAGCUCCCGGCUCAACUGGGAGAGCGCGUGGGAGACUGUUGGGCUAGAGACUCGGAGAGGGGUGUGGAAUUCCCGGUGGAGUGGUGAAAUGCGUUGAGAUCGGGAGGAACACCAGUGGCGAAGGCGGCACCCUGGCCGAGUUCUGACGCUGAAGCGCGACAGCGUGGGGAGCAAACGGG
rnacentral:rRNA from 1 species